GCCACAAUUGUGUGAUAUCUGCAACGUCACCAAGAGCUUUACUUUGUGUUCAGGAAUCUGGUAACUACCCGCAUUUGAAUUUGCUCAGAUUUGCCAAAAUUUUGUUUGACUUUGAAUUCAGAACUGGCAAUGCUGGUCAAGAACGUAAAGUUUCAUCUAUUUACUUUUGGCUUGUCUAUUCUUAUUGCUAGUUUAGACUGAGCCUCUUCCGACAACGCUAUCUACUGCCCUACCAAACAUGUGGAGCGAGUGGGCCUUUACCUUCAACAAUGCAACGACCAACCCGGUAUAUAGGGUCUGGAGUAAUAUUGUACAAGGAAAACAUAACGGUUUAUCAGCUUGCUGGAUUUCGUCUAGAAUUUUUUCGAAAUUUUUCUGACCCCACACUUAAAACGACAGUCCUUUAAUUACACUUGGACAGUCGACGACUUGGGAAAAGUUUCUACUUACAAGUGGCCAGGACCUGCAGCAACUCCGGAAACGUUUUACACAUAUUACAAAAAUUUUAUAACACCUCUUGUAAUUACAAAAUCCCAUCAUUCGCUCAUCCGGUAUACAGCUCAACGAAGUAAUUCUGGAGAGUUUUGGUGGUAAGCUAAAUAUAACACAAUACCAAUAAUGAAAGCACCAAAACGGCUGCGGAUACAUCAGUCCGCAAUCAACUGGUGCACAUUAUAGUUUACUGCGCAUGCGCACUGUAAAAUUGCUUAUAAUUUAAUUAAGAACGAAGCGGUGCAAAUCCGCGAAUCAUACUUCAAGAAAACAUCAUUUCUUACCUGUAAAAUCUCGGGCAAGUAGACAGCGAUAAUAGACAGACAAACGGCAAUUCUACGUGUUGGUGGCAAGUCAAACUAUUUAUCAAUACAGAUAAAUAAAAUAAUGAAAGCAGCAGGCAGGGCUGCCGAUGCGUCGGUAAGCAAUAAUCAUUACAGACUUUACUACGUAUGCUCACUAUAAACACAUAUUAAUUAACAAAAAGCAAGUAAAUGUCUCCUGUUAGUCGUAGAAGUCUAUUUCUCUCAUAAUAAUUUACCGUGCAAGUAGAUACAGUAUUACAGACAAACAGACCGUAUUGAUGUAGAAAAUAAAUGAGAGACAGACAAUACAGACUGACAGACAGACAGAACGACAGACAGACAGACAGACAGCUAUCAAGAGACGAAGACGGAAAGCCAAAUGCAUCAACCUUCAAGACACCGGAGAUCUGUGUUUUCUGUGUAUCUACAACGAUCAAAUGCUAGGGUUAUUGACAGGGAAAUAAAGGAGAUUGUUUCAAGAGAGAGCCACAUAAACAUAAAUAGUCGUAAGUAGAACCAAGCCCUAUUGGCUUGGGUAGUAUUUAUUUGCUUUACUUAGAUGGUGUAUAAUAGUUCAAUGCUUGAAAAUGUAUGUAUUGACAUACAUACAUAUAUACAGACAGACAGACAGACAGACGGACGGACGGACGGGCGGACGGACGGACGGACGGGCGGACGGACGGACGGACGGACGGACAGACAGACAGACAGAUAGGUAGUCUGCAUUGUUCUCUUUUAAGUGAUACCUGUUUGUUUGUUUUUUAAAUCUAGUCCUAGUAAACUCUCGUAUAGUUACAGAACUUUAUAUAGUUAACUUGCUUGCAUUGUAUUAUAAAUGUAUGCUUGAAUUAAAUUUUAUUUGACAGACAGAGAGACAGACAGACAGACAGACAGACAGACGGACGGACGGACGGACGGACGGACGGACGGACGGACAGGCAGGAAGGCAUGCAGACAGACGAUCACACUAUCGAAUGCGCAUGUGCACCGAGGCAUAAUUACUAUAACUUGUAAACAUUUAUGAAUAAAAACGAGUAAUUAUUCUAAAUACAAUUUAACCAGACCAGAACCGGACUAUCUAUUAAGUUAAAGUUGUUGAAGAUAAAAUGUUAUUUUCUCUCUGUGCAAUUAGCUAGACCAACUAUUUCACGGCAAUCCAACAUCUUGCUCGGUGUAUCGGGAUCUAUUGUCGAGACUUGUUUCAAUGUCACCGGAGGUCCCAAGCCGUCAUUCAAAAUCAGCAAAAUGGACAAUAACAACGACGUUGUGUCUUCUAUUAAACACAAAAAACGGCUGCAUUUACUUCGGAUCUUUAAACCUUAGCGACGAUACAAAUGUUACUUUAACUGUGGCAGCAAAAAACUGCUUUGGAAAUUCAAACUUCACUCUUAACCUACAAAUUGUGCAAAAAUUAUUUUCAAGUCCAACUACGGUUCAGUGUUCAAGAAAUAGAUCUCACUAUGAAGGACAUACAACGCAACUUCCAACAACCAGUAGAAUCCAAACACAAACUCAACAAAUGAAUAAUCAAACAAAUGACGUUUCUAGUUCAGCAGCAAACACAAUCAUUUUGAAUUACAAUGGAAAAAACUGUGGCGUCGUGCAAAUCGAUAAUCACGGUAUCUGUUAGUUCCACACUAACAAUGCAAUACACUGUGACAAAUUUACACGACGAACUAUUCGUUUGUCACAAUGAGAAGACAACGGAUCAUGUGUUUAAUCGCUAUCCAUUUCUAAUCAUACCAAACGUACAACAAUCAGACACUGGAAUAUACGAAAUCGUAGCAAAAGAUGGGGAUGUAAAUACAAGAUUGUAUUUCAUGCUUCGAGUAAAGACAUCCUAUUCUGCAACGGAUACAUCAGAUCUAGGGAAAGGAUCGCUGCCUACGAAAACUGUUACCACGGAAGAAACAAAUGGCUACACAAGGCGUCUCACAUCGACAAUAGUUACAACAUCAGGUCACAAUGAGUCUAGACUACACGUGAACACACGUCGGAAAAAAUUGCAGUUUUGACUACAGCACUUAUUGUCGUUUCGGUCUCUAUUCUUGUCUUUGCUCUGCCAACUGCUUUCCUUGUUUACAAAAAUCGUCAACGCUUGAAUUUGUUAACUCGCAGACUAGCCAACUCUAGUGAAGGAAAAAUUGGUGGUAUUUCUAGCUUCUUCAACAGUUAACUAAUAUAUCUAUAUUGCAAAUAUCUAAAUUUAAUCGUUAUGUGAAUAAGGAGAACAGACAAUUUCUACAGAUUCACACGUACAAGGCGUCCAACAAAAAGCAUCUUUUAGCAAACGUGAGAAAACAGUGAUGAUAUCGAGUUCAACGGCUGGGGACGCUGUGUAUGAAUGUGUUGAAGAGGAUUGAGUGCGACAAGUCACAGUGGAGACAUCUGAUGAUUCCCCAUCAGAUAUCACUGUUCAAGAAAAUGCCGCUUACGAAGUAGCGGUCUAAACUCAGCAAUUUACAGUGACGCUGUUUUGCCAAAAUUGCUUCGUAUUCAGUUGACUAUAAGGUAUGACAAACAUCCGCGUAUCUGUAGAGCAGCUGCUUUUGUGUAGUACACUAUUAGACGAGUAAAUGCAUUUUCACAAAGACAUGAAAGUUUGCUUGUAUG